AAUGAAGUGCCUGAAAAAAAGGAUUACUUUGAUAGAGUAAAUAAUGUAUAUUUUACCUUCAUUA
rnacentral:tRNA from 1 species